UUAAGCCAUGCAUGUCUAAGUAUAAGCAAUUAUACAGCGAAACUGCGAAUGGCUCAUUAUAUAAGUUAUCGUUUAUUUGAUAGUACCUUACUACUUGGAUAACCGUGGUAAUUCUAGAGCUAAUACAUGCUAAAAAUCCCGACUUCGGAAGGGAUGUAUUUAUUAGAUUAAAAACCAAUGCCCUCUGGGCUCCUUGGUGAUUCAUAAUAACUUUUCGAAUCGCAUGGCCUUGCGCCGGCGAUGGUUCAUUCAAAUUUCUUCCCUAUCAACUUUCGAUGUUUGGGUAUUGGCCAAACAUGGUCGCAACGGGUAACGGAGGGUUAGGGCUCGACCCCGGAGAAGGAGCCUGAGAAACGGCUACUACAUCCAAGGAAGGCAGCAGGCGCGCAAAUUACCCAAUCCCGAUUCGGGGAGGUAGUGACAAUAAAUACUGAUACAGGGCUCUUUUGGGUCUUGUAAUUGGAAUGAGUACAAUUUAAAUCCCUUAACGAGGAACAAUUGGAGGGCAAGUCUGGUGCCAGCAGCCGCGGUAAUUCCAGCUCCAAUAGCGUAUAUUAAAGUUGUUGUGGUUAAAAAGCUCGUAGUUGAACCUUGGGCCUGGCUGGCCGGUCCGCCUCACCGCGUGUACUGGUCCGGCCGGGCCUUUCCCUCUGUGGAACCUCAUGCCCUUCACUGGGUGUGGCGGGGAAACAGGACUUUUACUUUGAAAAAAUUAGAGUGCUCCAGGCAGGCCUAUGCUCGAAUACAUUAGCAUGGAAUAAUAAAAUAGGACGCGUGGUUCUAUUUUGUUGGUUUCUAGGACCGCCGUAAUGAUUAAUAGGGACAGUCGGGGGCAUCAGUAUUCAAUUGUCAGAGGUGAAAUUCUUGGAUUUAUUGAAGACUAACUACUGCGAAAGCAUUUGCCAAGGAUGUUUUCAUUAAUCAGGAACGAAAGUUAGGGGAUCGAAGACGAUCAGAUACCGUCGUAGUCUUAACCAUAAACUAUGC
rnacentral:rRNA from 1 species